rnacentral:lncRNA from 13 species
CCCCAGUGUAUGAUGCUUCCCUCCCUGUGUCCAUGUUUUCUCAUUGUUCAAUACCCGCCUAUGAGUGAGAACAUGCGGUAUUUGAUUUUUUGUUCUUGUGUCAGUUUGCUGAGAAUAAUGGUUUCCAGAUUCAUCCACAUCCCUACAAAGGAUACAAACUCAUCGAUUUUUAUGGCUGCAUAGUAUUCCAUGGUGUAUAUGUGCCACAUUUUUUUUGUCCAGUCUAUCACUGUUGGGCAUUUGGGUUGGUUCCAGGUCUUUGCUAUCAUAAACAGUGCUGCAAUGAACAUACAUGUGCAUGUGUCUUUAUAACGGAAUGAUUUAUAACACUUUGGGUAUAUACACAGUAACAAGAUUGCUGGGUCAAAUGGAAUUUCUAUUGCUAGGUCCUUGAGGAAUUUCCACACUGUCUUCCACAAUGGUUGAACUAAUUUACACUCCCACCAACAGCGUAAAAGUGUUCUUAUUUCUCCACAUCCUCUAAAGCAUCUGUUGUCUCCAGAUUUUUUAAUGAUUGCUAUUCUAAUUGGAGUGAGAUGGUAUCUCAAUGUGGUUUUGAUUUGCAUUUCUCUAAUGACCAAUGAUGAUGAGUAUUUUUUCAUAAGUUUGCUGGCCUCAUAUAUGUCUUCUUUUGAAAAGUGUCUGUUCAUAUCCUUUGCCCACUUUUGAAUGGGUUUGUUUGUUUUUUUCUUAUAGAUCUGUUUUAGUUCUUCGUAUAUUCUGGAUAUUAGCUCUCUGUCAGAUGGGUAGAUUGCAAAAUAUUUUUCCCAUUCUGUUGGUUGCUGGUUCACUCUAAUGAUUGUUUCUUUUGCUGUGCAGAAGCUCUGGGGUUUAAUUAGAUCCCAUUUGUCUAUCUUGGCUUUUGUCACCAAUGCUUUUGGUGUUUUAGUCAUGAAGUCUUUGCCUGUGCCUAUGUUCUGAAUGGUUUUGCCUAAGUUUUCUUCUAGGGUUUUUUAUGGUGUUAGGUCUUAUGUUUAAGUCUUUAAUCCAUCUGUAUCAAGCUAAUUUUAAAACAAUUUUUUUUGUAGACAUGGAGUCUUCUCAUAUUGCCCAGAAUGACUUCAACCUCCUGGCCUCAAGCAAUCCUCCCACCUCAGCCUCCCAAAGCACUAGGAUUACAGGUCUCUUCCCUGGCCUCUCAAUCAUGGUGCCAUUUCUAUUGAAGUCAAUAGGAUUCUAGAAUGACGUGGCAUCUGACUAAAACCAUACUGCCAGCUAUUCCAGGCUCUAGCCUGCAGACAGCAGCUCAUGGAACUUCUCAGACUCCAUAAUCACAUCAAUCAAUUCCUUAUAGUACAAUACGGCUUAUUUUAAUAAGGUAUGUUUAUGCAUAUGGGGGUCAACUUCUCAUCUCUGAUAACAAGAGCCACCCUUUCCCCUGGCACUUCCUUAAAGCAGGA